rnacentral:tRNA from 1 species
GAGGGUAUAGCUCAGUGGUAGAGAGUGUGCCUGACAUGCACAAGGUCCUGGGUUCAAUCCCCAGUACCUCCA